rnacentral:lncRNA from 1 species
CAUAAAAUAGUUUUCUUUCUGAAAAAAAUAAUUUUUCCAUUCUCAGAUUACACGAAAACGUGUUCUUUUUAUUUUCAAAUUUUUUUAAUCCAAAAAUCGAAAACUAUGAAAGAAAAAAUUUCUACGAAAAACUUGCUUUUCCGAAAAAUAAUUUUUCAUCAUUAUUUCUCCAGAAACCAAACAUCCACCAAAUAUUAAAAAAAAAAAA